rnacentral:sRNA from 1 species
UCGCUUUUCAAAUUAGUCCCUUUUACAUUUUGAACUUUUUUUCUUCUUCUUU